UACGGGGGGGGCAAGCGUUGUUCGGAAUUACUGGGCGUAAAGGGCGCGUAGGCGGCCUGCUAAGUCGGAUGUGAAAUCCCUCGGCUUAACCGGGGAACUGCGUCUGAUACUGGAUGGCUUGAAUCCGGGAGAGGGAUGCGGAAUUCCAGGUGUAGCGGUGAAAUGCGCAGAUAUCAGGAAGAACACCAAUGGCGAAGGCAGCUCUCUGGGACGGUACUGACGCUGAGACGCGAAAGCGUGGGGAGCGAACAGG
rnacentral:rRNA from 1 species